rnacentral:rRNA from 1 species
GAACUGUGCGAACGUUAUUCGGAAUCACUGGGCUUACAGGGUGCGUAGGCGGCUUGUUAAGUAGGGUGUGAAAUCCCCCGGCCCAACCGGGGGAUUGCGCUCUAAACUAGCAGGCUUGAGUGAGCUAGGGGUGCACGGAACUUCCAGUGGAGCGGUGAAAUGUGUUGAUAUUGGAAGGAACACCGGAGGCGAAAGCGGUGCACUGGGGCUUAACUGACGCUGAGGCACGAAAGCCAGGGGAGCGAACGGGAUUAGAUACCCCGGUAGUCCUGGCCGUAAACGAUGAACACUGGGCGGGAGAAGGUUCGCCUUUUCCGGCCGUAGCGAAAGCGUUAAGUGUUCCGCCUGGGGAGUAUGGUCGCAAGGCUG